AUAGCUUCAUCCAUACCUGGGUGAUCUGUAUCCAUGAUCACAUGGAAAGUGAAAACCCCAGCGAGAAGAAAUUUUGCGAACUGAGAUGAGUUUCAUUUCUUUCCAAUGGUACAUCAUGUUUUCUAUUUCAUGGUCAGAAAGCAUGUAAAAGAAUGAAGUGAUGAAUGCUGUCUGGACACAACAGAAGACCAAAAUAGCAAGCUGGUAUAUUAAAUAACGUGGAGGACAGUCACAGGUUUGUCCCCUCAUCUGUCACUAGGCCUUUUGAUCAGGCUGUGAAUAGUAAGUCAGCAUGACGUAAUGCUGCUGGUUAUUAUGCACAGAUCUAAUGACUGCCUCUACUCUGCCCAAUUACAGCAUUCUCAGAAGCGCCCUUAAAACAAAAUCUUCUGACCAUUCAGAUUAUACAAAGCUUAGCGGUACCCCCAGCACACCUUGAAAAUACUACCUUUUAGCUAAGGAUUCCCUGCAAGUACCAGGUUCUCAGUGUGCCCUCACAUAUGCCCCCUCUGUGAACCACAUCUUUUCACCUCCAUUAUGCAUGGCUUCAUUCUGUUGCAUGGAAUUCCCAGAGCAGCACAGCAUGACCAUCCAGCUUUUACACUGUACUCUAAAACACAACCCUGUAACCAAGAGAGAGAGGCAGGAUGCACAGCUCUCUUACACUGUAGUAUGUACCUUAUAUGUGAAAAACCUGACAUUAAGACAACAGAUCAAUUUGGCUUGUAUCAGAAAAAAGCUUUGAAUAGUGUAACUAACAUAAAACUCAGGGAGAGUUCAAAUAAGAUAUUUAAAAUAUUUCUUACACGUUUAUUCUGAGAGGGAACUAUGAAUGGGAAGAAUUGCUUUUUGCAAUGGUAUGACAAAACUAGGAAUUAUAUUCUGUUUUAUUAUGAACUUGUAACUCAGAAUUUAAAGGGAUAAUUAAAAAAAUAUAUAUUUAAAUUCUAUUUACAUUGUCAGUUGUAGCAUUUUUAUCAGCACAGAUUAGAAAACUGUAAAAUACAGAAACAUGCAGACCCUCUGUUUAAACUUAGUCACAGACUAUAGAGUAGGGCAUCAUUAGUUGACAUUUCAAUUGUGAAAGUUUCUCAUUCCCUGAAUGCUUAGGCAAAUGAGGAAUUUAAGCCUUAUGUUUUUAAUGGCUACAAUUUCCAACAGCUGUUUCAGAUUGACAAAAGAAAUUCAUAAUGGUCAUUAUUUGUUCUUUUGGGAAGUUUCUUUGGCCGUUUAUAACGACUUAAUUUUUUUUCUGCUACUCAUCAGUGCUGAUGGCUACACUUCCAGUAAGGUAUAGCAAAUGAGGUUGUUGCUUGUGUUCUAUGACCUGUAAAGACCCUAACCUUUGUCACCAUCUGUAUUUUUUUUUUACCAUCUUCCCCAUUCAUAAAUUACCACCAUCUAUCUGUACUAAUUAUUAAUAUCAGUUGUGUUUGAAUAUGGUUUGUUUUUUUUUUUCCCUGGGUUGGAGGCGUAUUCAUUCAGUGCCUUCUGUAACUCUUUCUUCCUUUGGGUAUGCAUAUGUUUUAUAUACUGUCUGAAAUAUAUCUCAAUUGUAUAAGUGAACAAUUCCCAAAUGAUACAGGCUCUUUUUUUUCUUCUCUUACAAACCUUUCUUAUUAAACUUCUACAAGAACAAACUGAAAGAAGGAAAAUUACUUUUUAAACGUAUCACUUUUAACUUUUAGACAUCUUGCAGAACACAUGGAAUUUUUCCUUCAAAGUCUUCUUCUAAUACACUGUGAUAGAGAGUUAAAAGUGAGAAGACAGCCUAUAUGAGACCACCAAAUUAGAUAAAAUUUGUGAGCAAUGAAAAAAUAACUGGCAGGCAUCUUUUAUGGCUUUCUACCUUUUCUAGACCUUUAAUUAAAUUACUGAUAGAAACCAAGAAAUUAUACCAUUCUUAUUAUAGCAAAAGUUUUUAACAUAUGCUUAAUCAGACAAAUAUUUUCCUUGAUAUUUAGAAAGUUACUUGUGUAUUCAAGAACUGCUUUUGGACUUUAGUCUGGCAAAGGCUUCUGGGGAUGUGGUUGCCCAUGAAUGCAUCAAAUUUAAAUCAUGCUGCAUGGAUUCCAGGAUACCAAGGCUAAUAUCUGCAAGCCCAGUAUCUCCCAAAUGCAUAAAAACACUUAUGGUAUAUACAUCAUGGAUUAGAAAUUCCUUGCUGAUAUGUGUCUCCAGGUUCAUUCCUGUACUGUUUCAGGAAUCAUUCUGGAAUAGCAGCACAAAAUAUUGCUAUCCUGAUAGAUCCCAUAUUGUUGAUACAUUCAGGUAAUAUAAAGAGAGCUGCUUUAUUUUUUGAUUUGUUUUAAUUUGUAAGAAGAUAAAGCUGAAAUGUUGACUUUACCUUUAACAAUAUCUAAUUGGUAGCAGUUCCUAUGCAGAAAUUCUUUGCUUUUAAUGGUUUGAGAUACACUACAUUUCUCUUAUAAAAUAUUCUGUGAAAAGAUGAGAUGACAUUUUUAGUCAUUUCUUUUAAAAUUCCUUAUCUUUUUGAUGAUGCAGUUAUUUACUUUUUUUCUUUUAAACUUCCUUUUUCCCAACUUUGAUUAUUCUUUGCAGCAGUACAUUCUUGUAACCAUUAUUUUGAUAAAUUUCAAUGGAAAUCUUUCCACAAGGACAGUGUAGUCCUCUAAGAUGAACAGUAUUUUCAUCUGAUUAAUUUUCAUAUUUUUAAAAGCUAGUCCUCUUCAGCACCCACUAAAAAUUAUAAAACUAUCCCUCUGGAAAAACAGCGAAAACUCUCAGGAGAGCACAAAUCAGCAACAAACUGAAACACAAAAAGUACACUGAUAGCUUUCAAUCUUCACAGUCUAUACUAGAGGACUAGUAGGCCUCUACACAACUUAGACUUGGGUACUGUAAAGACCCUUAGAAGUGCUUUUUAUCCUCUAGUUGAAAAAUACAGAUGGGAGCUCAGAUAAGAGUCAUCUUGAUGAGACUCGUAAGAUUCUUGUUUCCCUAUAAAGGAGUUAUAAAAAAAAAAAAAAAAAAGACAUUUUUUUCUAUAAUGACCCUAUCCUGCCCAUACCCCCUCCAGGAACUGCAUACCAAAUUAAUAGCCAGUUUAAGAAUAACAUCCAAUCCAACCACCAUACUUUAAAAGUAAUAUUUUAAAGAGAAUUUCCUUUCACUUUGAAAACUGCAGCUUAUCAGUCAUCUGUUUUGUCUCAGCGGAAACCUAAAAUGAGAGCAUUCCUAUAACCUUGAAAAUCCUCAUGAAAUAACAAAAAAAAAAAAAAAAAAAAAGUGCUUAAAAGUGCUUAUUCCACCUACCUGAGAAAAUAAAUCCUUCACACAUCUAAAACUUGAAUUAAUAUGUAUGGAAAAUUUUUGAAAACUUCAUGGCAAGGCCUGAUGUGUGCCUUUAUUUAUAUGACAGAAAAUGAGAGUUCACAGAAAGCCUUACAAUGGGACAGUACCAAUAUUUAUCACUCAGAGUUUUUAUGUGGAAAUUCAAGGUGAACUUGCUUCUCAUCUUACCAGGAUGACUGUUAUUGGGUUUGUAUAUUUCACAUGGUACACUGGAUGUGUGUAAUAUAAGUUACAACACAGAAAAAAGUAGUUACAGACAUUGUUAUAGGUUUCUUAUGCAUGCCUAAAGGAACUCUGUAAGGUUUUGUGUACUGCUUUUUAACAAUAUAGGGUUUAAAAAAAAAAAAAAAACCAAAAAAACAACACAGGCACAAGCUCCUUAUUUCAUUUUCUCCACCCACAAGACAAAACUGUUUGCACCUAUAAACUAACAAACGAUUAGUCAAAGUGGCGAGGAACAGAACAUGAACUAGAAAUGCAAAGUUGAGCAAUGAAGGAAUCAGGAGACAACAGAAAAGUGCAGGAAACAUGGAAAGACAGGAGCAGUCUGAUAGAUUGGGCCUUGAAAUAUUACUUCAGUCAUCUUUUCUUUUUCUAAGUUAGACAAUGACAUAUGAUAGUUUUCUUGACAAAAAAGAGAACUAGAACAAUACCUAGACAUGGUUGUUAUAAGCACACAAUCAGGUCUGGACAAAGAUCAACAAAAUACAUCGCUGUUUCACUGCUGGCAGGAGGAUUGCUACUCAGCAGGAUACUCAGAGCAUCUGACUUAGUGAGAUAAUUUAGUUCUGACUGGGACGCUCUGAACUGCCCUCUGAAGGAUUGUAUACUCCUCCACUGACUACAUAAGGAGCCCAAGGAAACAAUCUUUAAAAAUCUAAUAAGAAAGCUGGACAAUAGAAAAAAUAAGCUACAAUUUUUUGGAAACACUGCACCCCACAACACCUUCAGAGGUUCCGCUCUUCUCUUUCUUCCUCCACUGCAGCAGGUAGGCUGUUAUUUUUCACAGCACAGCAACUGCUUCUUGAUUCAGUAGCAUUUUACCAGCUAGCACAUGCAAAGGAUACAUCCAGUCUACUUUUUUCACCAAGUUUGUGGGGCAAGUAUAGUAGUUAUUCAGGAUCUCAUAAUAAAACUUGUGUAUGACUAUCCGGUGCAAGACAAUAUAAUGCAGACUACAUAAUGGAAGCAGAAAGUUGUUUUUUUUUUAAAAUGGUGUUUAGCUUCAUUUCUUUUAGAAAUUUGUCAUCAUUGUUGUUGACGCGAUUUUCUGUUUAUUUUCUUUUUUCAGAAUGUGAUUAAAAUGAACAAUCCUUUUACACAGAUGAUCAGUGUCUUAUGCAUAUAUUGAAAUUUUAAAAAAUUACAAAAUUUGACUCAUAGAAAAUGCAGAGGUAGGGAAAUUCAAAUGUUGAGAUGUUCAUUAAAUUAAGAUAUUGUAAAACACUCUAAACGUACUCACACAUACUCAAAAAGAUCUUAGGGUGACAUCACAUUUAAAUAAAGUCCAGCUAUGAGAAUGUUUUUAAGAUACAAAAUUUUUCCUCAAUGAAAACAAUGAAAAACUGCUGGAACAUCUGGAAAUGCUCAGAAAUGUUUGUCAUACUUUAUAUACUCUUCUUUGAGCCUUCAGAACCCUGAAAAUAUGUAUUCAUUGUCACUUGAAAUUUUCAGAAGUCUGUCUUAUAUUUCAUAAGUACAGUAGCCCUCAGGUAUAACCCUCAUCUUAUAAGGAAGAGAGAACCACAAAGGAGAGUUUUACAAUCUCCAGGUAAUUUAUAGAUUUCAGUGAUAUCAGACAUGUAAAUCCCUAUAUCUGGUAUAUAGGCAAUUUAUCUGUGCUGUCAGAAAAGUAUAGUUAUACAGGUUUCUCAAGCCUAGGAUCACAUGUGAAGUGAUGUUACACAUCUCCAAAACUGCUAACCUCAAUUUAUCCCUUAGAAAUUUUUAUUUAAAAAAAAAAAAAAAAAG